rnacentral:rRNA from 1 species
UACAGAGGUGGCAAGCGUUGUUCGGAAUUACUGGGCGUAAAGGGCGCGUAGGUGGCCUUUUGAGUCAGACGUGAAAUCCCCCGGCUUAACCUGGGAACUGCGUCUGAUACUGGACGGCUGGAGUUUGGGAGAGGGAUGUAGAAUUCCAGGUGUAGCGGUGAAAUGCGUAGAUAUCGUAAGGAAGACCAGUGGCGAAGGCGAAUCUCUGGACAGUUACUGACACUGAGGCACGAAGGCCAGGGGAGCAAACGGG